rnacentral:rRNA from 1 species
GACGAACGCUGGCGGCGUGCCUAACACAUGCAAGUCGAACGGAAAACAUAGCAAUAUGUUUUUAGUGGCGAACGGGUGAGUAACGCGUAGACAACCAACCUUUUUGUGGGGGACAACACUUCGAAAGGAGUGCUAAUACCGCAUACGCUCCAGAUGCCGCAUGGCAUUUGGAGGAAAGGAGCUGUAAGGCUUCGCAAAAAGCCGGGUCUGCGUCUGAUUAGCUAGUUGGGGGGGGAACGGCCCACCAAGGCGACGAUCAGUGGCCGGUCUGGGAGGAUGGACGGCCAAACUGGGACUGAGACACGGCCCAGAGUCCUACGGGAGGCAGCAGUGGGGAAUCUUCCGCAAUGGACGAAAGUCUGACGGAGCGACGCCGCGUGAGUGAUGAAGGCCCUUGGGUCGUAAAGCUCUGUCAUCAGGGACGAACGGUCACGUCAGGAAAUGGGCGUGAAUUGACGGUACCUGAGAAGGAAGCCACGGCUAACUACGUGCCAGCCGCCGCCGUA